rnacentral:misc_RNA from 1 species
UCCGGUUUGUCACCGGCGGUCUCCUUAAAGUUCCCACCAUUACGUGCUGGCAACUAAGGACAAGGGUUGCGCUCGUUGCGGGACUUAACCCAACAUCUCACGGCACGAGCUGACGACAGCCAUGCAGCACCUGUGCUAGCCCCCGAAGGACACGGGCUUUCACCCGCUUUAACUAGCAUGUCAAGCCUAGGUAAGGUUCUUCGCGUUGCCUCGAAUUAAGCAACAUGCUCCGCUGCUUGUGCGGGCCCCCGUCAAUUCCUUUGAGUUUUAGCCUUGCGGCCGUACUCCCCAGGCGGGGCACUUAAUGCGUUAGCUACGGCACGGAACCCGUCGAUAGAGCCCCACACCUAGUGCCCAACGUUUACGGCGUGGACUAC